rnacentral:rRNA from 1 species
ACCGCGGUAUACGAGAGGCUCAAGUUGACAGAUACCGGCGUAAAGGUGGUUAGGGGAACAUCCUCAGAGCAGUUCAACGCUUACGAGUUAGAAGAUCUAUCACGAAAGUAGCUUUACCCCACCUGACCCCACGAAAGCUGUGGCACAAACUGGGAUUAGAUACCCCACUAUGCUCAGCCAUAAAAUUUGAUAGGUCCCUACACACCUAUCCGCCCGGGAACUACGAGCAUCAGCUUAAAACCCAAAGGACUUGGCGGUGCUUCACAUCCGUCUAGAGGAGCCUGUUCUAUAACCGAUAACCCCCGUUAAACCUCACCCUCCCUUGUUAUUCCCGCCUAUAUACCGCCGUCGUCAGCCCACCCUGUGAAGGACUAGAAGUGAGCAAAAUUGGUAAAACCUAAAACGUCAGGUCGAGGUGUAGUAUAUGAGAGGGGAAGAAAUGGGCUACAUUUCCUAAUCUAGGAAAUACGAACAAUGUACUGAAACAAACAUUAGAAGGUGGAUUUAGCAGUAAGCAAGAAAUCAGAGAGUCUGCUGAAGAUCUACGGCACUAAAGCACGCACA